GACAGAGGAUGCAAGCGUUAUCCGGAAUGAUUGGGCGUAAAGCGUCUGUAGGUGGCUUUUUAAGUCCGCCGUCAAAUCCCAGGGCUCAACCCUGGACAGGCGGUGGAAACUACCAAGCUGGAGUACGGUAGGGGCAGAGGGAAUUUCCGGUGGAGCGGUGAAAUGCGUAGAGAUCGUAAGGAAGACCAGUGGCGAAGGCGGGUCUCUGGACAGUUCCUGACACUGAGGCACGAAGGCCAGGGGAGCAAACGGG
rnacentral:rRNA from 1 species